rnacentral:rRNA from 1 species
CACGUAGGGCGCAAGCGUUGUCCGGAAUUAUUGGGCGUAAAGAGCUUGUAGGCGGUUUGUCGCGCCUGCUGUGAAAUCUCAAGGCUCAACCUUGAGCUUGCAGUGGGUACGGGCAGACUAGAGUGUGGUAGGGGAGACUGGAAUUCCUGGUGUAGCGGUGAAAUGCGCAGAUAUCAGGAGGAACACCGAUGGCGAAGGCAGGUCUCUGGGCCACUACUGACGCUGAGAAGCGAAAGCAUGGGGGAGCGAACAGG